GCAGUCUACCACCCUUUUCCCCCAGAGGGCGCCCAAGGGCCGCAUUGGCACGGUCCCACUCAAGGCCAACGGGAGACACCUGUGUACCAGGCCAAUCAGACCCAGACGGACCUUGGCCCCCGGACCCGGUCUAGAGAAGACCACAGGACUACACGGAAGGACCUCCUCAUCUGGAUACCGGGACAGCGGGUUAAAGACUUUUUGAAGUAAAGAGGAGCAUCUCAUCUGAACCUGAUGUCUAUCAUGGAUAUUUAACUGCAGUUCUGUGAGUAUCCCAACUUAACCAUGAAGAUGAACUGCAAACUGUAAGUCAUUAAUUUCUCAUUACUCUUGGGCACAUUGAUGUAUUUUGGCUUCCUGGUGAGUUAACCUGUUACCUGAAGGUUGAUCUGAGUAGUAAGGAUGUGUUACUGGUUCAUGGGUUACCUAGGUGUUUGGUUUAUGUUGGUUUUAAUGAUUUGUUAAAAUGGUUACAGGCUCCAAGUUAUUGUUGUAAGCUGGAGUAAUGGGUUGGGUUCUGAUAUCUUCAGUCUUCUUUCAUUCUACUCUCCUGAGCUCUGCAUCUUCAUCACAUGAGUCUUGCUUUACUUACGAUGGUGUGGUCUGAGUGAGCAGAGGUGCAUACUGGGAUACAGAGCUGUCUGAAGUCUACAGGUCUGUAGACACGCCCCCUCAGGGGAAACCGAGUGUUUGAGAAACUGUCGUGACGUCAGUUACAUGGACUGGAAUGUUCUUAAAGAUGGAGACAGGGAUUCAGAAGGAGAAACACCAGGGGGAGAUGAGGGGGCUCCUCAUCUCAACGACUGAAACACAACUUCAGUCUGACACAGAGAACCAUGGAACACAUUCAACAGUCCCCUCCAGGCAUCGUGACUCCUCAGGAACAGUUUCUUAUUUGGGGCCAUCCCCAUAUGGAUCCUGCUCCUCAAGAGCCAACCCCCUCCACUGGGUGGUCUUCUGAACAGAUGACCUCCUUCCUGUCCUCAGGCUGACUAAAGCUGUACCGUUUGCAUCUGUGAAGGCCCCUCAUUCAGGAAACCACUGGACUACAAAGACAUGACUUCAGAAACGUUGAAUCAACCUGGGACACAUUUUGGAGACACCAA
ensembl:lncRNA